GAUGAACGCUGGCGGCGUGCCUAAUACAUGCAAGUCGAACGCUUCACUUCGGUGAAGAGUGGCGAACGGGUGAGUAAUACAUAAGUAACCUGGCAUCUACAGGGGGAUAACUGAUGGAAACGUCAGCUAAGACCGCAUAGGUGUAGAGAUCGCAUGAACUCUAUAUGAAAAGUGCUACGGGACUGGUAGAUGAUGGACUUAUGGCGCAUUAGCUUGUUGGUAGGGUAACGGCCUACCAAGGCGACGAUGCGUAGCCGACCUGAGAGGGUGACCGGCCACAUUGGGACUGGGAACCGGCCCAGACUCCAAGGGGAGGAAGCAGUAGGAAAUUUUCGGCAAUGGGGGAAACCCUGACCGAGCAACGCGGCGGGAAGGAAGAAGUAUUUCGUUAGGUAAACUCCUGUAAUAGAGGAAGAACGGUGGAAAUAGGGAAUGUUAUCCAGGUAACGGUACUCUAUAGAAAGCCACGGCUAACUACGUG
rnacentral:rRNA from 1 species